AUAGAUAUAUCUACAGAAAAUACUCCUUAUGGCGAAAGUAGAAACUUUACCAUAACAUGGACGGCAACCGGCGACGAUGUUAACAUUGGGCAAGCUAUGGAAUAUGAGAUAAGAAUAUCAAGCGACAAUUAACAUUUUGACAAACGAUUUUUCCAAUGCUGAAUUGCUCAGUUGUUUCUAAUACAAACUUCACACCGAAGGCUUCAGGUGUAACAGAGUUCCUAAGGAUAGAAGUAAAUGCAGAAGAGUCGUACACAUCAACCAAAUAUUUCGCUAUCAAGGGCAAAGGACGAGGCUGGAAACGUAGGUGAUGUUUCAAAUAUCAUUUUCGAUACUUGUUGCCAAUGGUUACCGAAUAGCAAUAGAAGGUGAUAUAGUUUACUCUCAUAGUAACACAGACGACGAGGCUACAGAAGAGGCUGUGGUAGAAAAAGAGAAGAAGAAAAAUCUCACUAUACUUGCCGUUGGAUUAUCGUCUGCAGCAGCUGUAAUUGUCAUAGCAAUAGUUUGCACUUACAGUGUGCGUUAAAAAAGCAAAAGCUAAGGAAAUUGUACAAGACUGUGAAUUCGGCAGCAGGACAA